rnacentral:rRNA from 1 species
GUGGGGAAUAUUGGUCAAUGGGCGAGAGCCUGAACCAGCCAAGUCGCGUGAAGGAAGAAGGAUCUAUGGUUCGUAAACUUCUUUUGCAGGGGAAUAAAGUGCAGGACGUGUCCUGUUUUGUAUGUACCCUGAGAAUAAGGAUCGGCUAACUCCGUGCCAGCAGCCGCGGUAAUACGGAGGAUCCGAGCGUUAUCCGGAUUUAUUGGGUUUAAAGGGUGCGUAGGUGGUUUGAUAAGUCAGCGGUGAAAGUUUGCAGCUUAACUGUAAAAAUGCCGUUGAAACUGUCGGACUUGAGUGUAAAUGAGGUAGGCGGAAUGCGUGGUGUAGCGGUGAAAUGCAUAGAUAUCACGCAGAACUCCGAUUGCGAAGGCAGCUUACUAAGCUACAACUGACACUGAAGCACGAAAGCGUGGGGAUCAAACAGGAUUAGAUACCCGUGUAGUCC